UACGUAGGGUGCAAGCGUUAAUCGGAAUUAUUGGGCGUAAAGAGCUCGUAGGCGGUUCGUCGCGUCGGCUGUGAAAACCUGAGGCUCAACCUCAGGCCUGCAGUCGAUACGGGCGGACUUGAGUACUGCAGGGGAGACUGGAAUUCCUGGUGUAGCGGUGAAAUGCGCAGAUAUCAGGAGGAACACCGGUGGCGAAGGCGGGUCUCUGGGCAGUAACUGACGCUGAGGAGCGAAAGCGUGGGGAGCGAACAGG
rnacentral:rRNA from 1 species